rnacentral:rRNA from 1 species
AGCGAACGCUGGCGGCAGGCCUAACACAUGCAAGUCGAACGAACUCUUCGGAGUUAGUGGCGGACGGGUGAGUAACACGUGGGAACGUGCCUUUAGGUUCGGAAUACCUCAGGGAAACUUGUGCUAAUACCGAAUGUGCCCUUCGGGGGAAAGAUUUAUCGCCUUUAGAGCGGCCCGCGUCUGAUUAGCUAGUUGGUGAGGUAAUGGCUCACCAAGGCUACGAUCAGUAGCUGGUCUGAGAGGAUGACCAGCCACAUUGGGCCUGAGACACGGCCCAAACUCCUACGGGAGGCAGCAGUGGGGAAUCUUGCGCAAUGGGCGAAAGCCUGACGCAGCCAUGCCGCGUGGAUGAUGAAGGUCUUAGGAUUGUAAAAUCCUUUCACCGGUGAAGAUAAUGACUGUAGCCGGAGAAGAAGCCCCGGCUAACUUCGUGCCAGCCGCCGCGGUAACAC